rnacentral:sRNA from 1 species
UUCGACCAAGGUGCGACUCGAGCGCCAGCGAGAAAGCGUUGCCGCAGGCAACGACCCGAAGGGUGAAGCGCGCAGCGCUGAGUAAUCCUUCCCCCACCACCA